UGUAAACGCUCUGUAAAUUCCAGUGUUUUCAACACAGUGGCUCAUUAGCAAAGUUACACUUUCUGCUGCUACAUCUUAGUUUAAAGACUGCAAAAAUUACUGUAUGAAUUGGCCUACAAGACUCCGUCAUGUCUAGAAGAAGUGCGAGACUUCUUAAUGUAGGGUACUAUGACCAGUCCUCAGAUGAUGAAAUCUCUGGCUCCAUGGUCUCCUACAAGGAGAGCCCUGUGCCUAGGGUAUUCAACAAGAGGAAACCGAGAACAGGGGGCCAUAAGGGAAUCCAAAAGCCAAAUCAGCCAAUCAAAGUCAUGGCGCCAACUGUGAGGGCCGUCCAGAGAAGGCAGACCUUCCUGUCUCCUACUGUGGCACCCAGUGUGGCCCCUGUUCCUUU